rnacentral:rRNA from 1 species
AGUGAACGCUGGCGGUAGGCCUAACACAUGCAAGUCGAACGGCAGCACAGUAAGAGCUUGCUCUUACGGGUGGCGAGUGGCGGACGGGUGAGGAAUACAUCGGAAUCUACUUUUUCGUGGGGGAUAACGUAGGGAAACUUACGCUAAUACCGCAUACGACCUACGGGUGAAAGCAGGGGAUCUUCGGACCUUGCGCGAUUGAAUGAGCCGAUGUCGGAUUAGCUAGUUGGCGGGGUAAAGGCCCACCAAGGCGACGAUCCGUAGCUGGUCUGAGAGGAUGAUCAGACACACUGGAACUGAGACACGGUCCAGACUCCUACGGGAGGCAGCAGUGGGGAAUAUUGGACAAUGGGCGCAAGCCUGAUCCAGCCAUACCGCGUGGGUGAAGAAGGCAUUCGGGUUGUAAAGCCCUUUUGUUGGGAAAGAAAAGCAGCAGGUUAAUAACCCGCUGUUCUGACGGUACCCAAAGAAUAAGCACCGGCUAACUUCGUG